UAACAGGUCUUCGGACGCUGACGAGUGGCGAACGGGUGAGUAAUACAUCGGAACGUGCCCAGUCGUGGGGGAUAACUACUCGAAAGAGUAGCUAAUACCGCAUACGAUCUGAGGAUGAAAGCGGGGGACCUUCGGGCCUCGCGCGAUUGGAGCGGCCGAUGGCAGAUUAGGUAGUUGGUGGGAUAAAAGCUUACCAAGCCGACGAUCUGUAGCUGGUCUGAGAGGACGACCAGCCACACUGGGACUGAGACACGGCCCAGACUCCUACGGGAGGCAGCAGUGGGGAAUUUUGGACAAUGGGCGAAAGCCUGAUCCAGCAAUGCCGCGUGCAGGAUGAAGGCCUUCGGGUUGUAAACUGCUCUUGUACGGAACGAAAAAGCUUCUCCUAAUACGAGAGGCCCAUGACGGUACCGUAAGAAUAAGCACCGGCUAACUACGUGCCAGCAGCCGCGGUAAUACGUAGGGUGCGAGCGUUAAUCGGAAUUACUGGGCGUAAAGCGUGCGCAGGCGGUUAUGUAAGACAGAUGUGAAAUCCCCGGGCUCAACCUGGGAACUGCAUUUGUGACUGCAUGGCUAGAGUACGGUAGAGGGGGAUGGAAUUCCGCGUGUAGCAGUGAAAUGCGUAGAUAUGCGGAGGACACCGAUGGCGAAGGCA
rnacentral:rRNA from 1 species